rnacentral:other from 2 species
GUUCUACUGCGGCGUUGGUGACUGCCAACAAUGUUUUACGAUCUAUGUCUUUAGUACAAGGGAACCCGAUCGUGUCGAUGGCAGUAAACCGGGCAUUGCACCCGGAAACUUAAAAUCGGUGCUGAGGUACCCACCUGGUUCUACCAGGUCGAAGACUGAGGUAAGACGGCGCUGUGGUGAACUU